rnacentral:lncRNA from 1 species
UGAAAAACCUGGCAGCAAUCAGUUUUAGGUUAACACAACUGAAAUUGGAGGAAAGGACAGGUAAUAGAAAGAAGAUACAAGUGAAAAAUGUGUAGAUAUAGAAGAACACAUGAUUCAGCACAGCAACUGGUGCUGCAGCAAUUCAGGGAAUUCAAGCAAAUAAAUAGAAAAACUGGAAACUCACCUUUGUAAUGAAAAAGGAAUUCUACAAUAUUUUCCCCCAACCUCUCUUUCUGGAGCAUCCAAGUUCUACUUUUAAGAAAAUAAUGGAGUUGGGCACUAGGCGGCUCUGAUCUCUUGCAGAGGGGAGAAAGCCCUGAAUUUCUCUUGGUUCUCUAUGGCAGCAGAAUCCACUAUCCAACAUGUCGAGCAAAAAGGCAAAGAAGAACACAAAGAAGCAUCCUCAAUGAGCAACUUCCAAUGUACUUGUUAUGUUUGACUAGUCACAGAUUCAAG